rfam:Gossypium arboreum cultivar AKA8401 contig_36776_1, whole genome shotgun sequence.
GGGUCGAUGCCCGAGCGGUUAAUGGGGAUGGAUUGUGAAUUCGUUGGCAAUAUGUCUACGUUGGUUUAAAUCCAGCUCGGCCCA